UAGCCUACGGGCGGCAGCAGUAGGGAAUAUUGGGCAAUGGGCGAAAGCCUGACCCAGCAACGCCGCGUGCAUGAUGAAGGUCUUCGGAUCGUAAAAUGCUUUUCUGAGAGAUGAGAAAGGACAGUAUCUCAGGAAUAAGUCUCGGCUAACUACGUGCCAGCAGCCGCGGUAACACGUAGGAGGCAAGCGUUAUCCGGAUUUACUGGGUGUAAAGCGCGUGCAGGCGGUUCGGUAAGUUGGAUGUGAAAGCUCCUGGCUCAACUGGGAGAGGUCGUUCAAAACUACCGGACUUGAGAGCAGUAGAGGGAGGUGGAAUUCCCGGUGUAGUGGUGAAAUGCGUAGAUAUCGGGAGGAACACCAGUGGCGAAAGCGGCCUCCUGGACUGCUUCUGACGCUCAGACGCGAAAGCUAGGGUAGCAAACGGGAUUAGAUACCCUGGUAGUC
rnacentral:rRNA from 1 species